GUACUCAAUUCAGCAUCACAUACACUAACAUUGGAAUGGUACAGAGAAGAUUAUCAUGGCCUCUGCACAGGGAUAACAUGUAAAUUCCUGGAUCAUUCCAUAUGUUU
ensembl:snRNA U6 U6 spliceosomal RNA